UUAUACUGCUAGUGAUUAUUCAACUCUGCCUAUCUGGCCUGGUUGCACUCUCUGAGGAUAUAAAAAUCAGAAAUUGCUACCAGGUUGGAUGUGCUUGGUUGGGUCUUGGCUUCUAA